AGUGAACGCUGGCGGUAGGCCUAACACAUGCAAGUCGAACGGCAGCACAGUAAGAGCUUGCUCUUACGGGUGGCGAGUGGCGGACGGGUGAGGAAUACAUCGGAAUCUACUUUUUCGUGGGGGAUAACGUAGGGAAACUUACGCUAAUACCGCAUACGACCUACGGGUGAAAGCAGGGGAUCUUCGGACCUUGCGCGAUUGAAUGAGCCGAUGUCGGAUUAGCUAGUUGGCGGGGUAAAGGCCCACCAAGGCGACGAUCCGUAGCUGGUCUGAGAGGGUGAUCAGCCACACUGGAACUGAGACACGGUCCAGACUCCUACGGGAGGCAGCAGUGGGGAAUAUUGGACAAUGGGCGCAAGCCUGGUCCAGCCAUACCGCGUGGGUGAAGAAGGCCUUCGGGUUGUAAAGCCCUUUUGUUGGGAAAGAAAAGCAGCAGGUUAAUACCCCGCUGUUCUGACGGUACCCAAAGAAUAAGCACCGGCUAACUUCGUG
rnacentral:rRNA from 1 species